rnacentral:rRNA from 1 species
UUUUAUAAGUAAAAAUUUAUAGUCUAUUUAUAUAGAUUUGUAUUGUUGCUUGGGAGUUUGCUUGGGGCGAGAUCCUCCAAAAAAGUAUCGGGGGAGUGCCAUGGUUCGUUUAUACUUUUAUAAGGUAUAAUAAAUUAUAACCAAUUAAGCGAGCCUGACUGUAAGGUAUACAAACCGAGCAGACACGUAAGUGUGUGGUAGUGAACCUGUAAAAAUAUGUGGAAAGUUUACAGAUCAACGGAUUAAAGGUACGCCAGGGAUAACAGGCUGAUUUUCUUCAAGAGUUCAUAUCAACGAGAAAGCUUGGCACCUCGAUGUCGACUUUCCGCGUCCUCUUGCUGCAGAAGGUAAGAAGGGUUAGACUGUUCGUCUAUUAAAGCGGAACGUGAGUUGGGUUUAUUCCGUCGUGAGACAGGAAGGUUCUUAUGUGCAUUAGGUAUUUUUUAGACAUACAUAUACACCCUUUAGUACGAAAGGACCUGGGGGUGCACACCUCUGAUCUACCAGUUGUUUAACAGAAAGCACCGCUGGGCAGUUAAGUGUGUAGGUAGAAUAGCUGACAGCAUCUGAAGCUAGAAAAUCAUAUGUAAAAAGUCUAUCUUUUUCGUUAUAGACUAUAACGUGAAUCGGUGCUUUGUAUAUAUAUGUAAAUAUUGGCAAGAGCAUACGAAA